AUUUAAAUAGUUUAAAAAAAACAUUGAUUUGUGGUGUCAAAGAUGCAUUAUUAAUUGUUUUAAGUA
rnacentral:tRNA from 1 species